GUGAAUCAUCGAAUUUUUGAACGCAAAUUGCACUCCCUGGUAUUCCGGGGAGUAUGCCUGUUUGAGGGUCGUUAGACUAAAAAAUCGUUGGGUCGCUCUUUUUUUUAAGGGUGAUCGUGUCGGAAUUGAUCCGUUAUUCAGCUGUUAAUUCAUGUAUAAGUGGCUUGAAAUUCAUCUAUCCGGUAUGAUUGAUGCGUAUUUACGUUCAAUUGUGAUUGAGAAC
rnacentral:misc_RNA from 1 species